rnacentral:rRNA from 1 species
CCUACGGGGGGCAGCAGUGGGGAAUAUUGCACAAUGGGGGAAACCCUGAUGCAGCGACGCCGCGUGAGCGAAGAAGUAUUUCGGUAUGUAAAGCUCUAUCAGCAGGGAAGAAAAAAAUGACGGUACCUGAGUAAGAAGCACCGGCUAAAUACGUGCCAGCAGCCGCGGUAAUACGUAGGGAGCAAGCGUUAUCCGGAUUUAUUGGGUGUAAAGGGUGCGUAGACGGAGAAGCAAGUUAGUUGUGAAAUCCCUCGGCUUAACUGAGGAACUGCAACUAAAACUACUUCCCUUGAGUACUGGAGAGG